UCUGCAGCUAUGGGCGUGGGAAAGAAUGCCCACAUUGGGGCCUGCGUUCAUAGGACCAGUUGUGCACGAGCCAUAUACACCAUGUGGCGCCAGGUGGAAAGGAACAACGCAGAUAGGAAAUGCUCCUAGACACUCGGUUGAGCAUUACCGUGACCAAAUAUCUCUGAUUAGACCUGGCCAGUUUAUCUGGACGCCAUACGCACGAGCCCUACUGCCUGACUACUGCAAUGAU